GUUUACUCACAUGCCUAUCUUAAUUUCUAUCACCCUGGAACCACAGUAUUAGUUGCGUUUCUUUUCUAAAAGUUGAAAUUUGUUUACUUUUUACCUCACAAAAUUCGAAUCGUUGACUGGUUUACGCAAUUGUCUUGUGAAGGCUAGACGUAACCAAUGUCAUAUCUUCGCUGAAAUUGUUUGGUUUGGUGUAAUCAGCAGUUCGAAUACAAUAUGAAAGAAGAUUCUGUUUAACUCAUGUUUGACGUUGCAAAUUAGAAGUGAUUGCAUUUGAGGUCUAUUUGUGAUUUGUUAGCGAACCGUUAUACACAGAAAGCAAUUAAGGAUCAUAAUAUAGAUCUGAAGGAGAUUGAAAAAACCCAUCUUGGUUCUAAUGAAGAACAGAAGGUUCCACCACCAAAAAAUAGCUGACACAUAAUGAGGAGCCUCUGCAGUUUACUUUCUCCAUGUUCCGUUCUGCAGUGGGUGCCACAGCGUAAGAUACAAUUCGGCUGUAGCAAUGAGAUUGCUGAGAGCCAGUGGCAUAGUGAUGUUACAGACGUUUGAUAUAUACAGGUUAAAUUAUAAGGAAGCUGUAUUAAUGUCUUUACCUUUCACUCCACAUUGUUGUUGCAGUAAAUAUUGUGUAGAAUGUUUUAGCAUUUUUGAUCAUGUACAAAUAUAUGUUUAAAAAAGGCAGCGAGUUAUACAUGCAAUCAUGCCACAAAAUACUCCAUAUUGUUUUCAGUGUGAUUGUUAUGUAGAAGCAAACUCUGAACGUAAUUAUCACAAAGGAUUUCCCAAAAUAAAUUAUCUUUUGCAGUCA